rnacentral:snRNA from 1 species
UUGCUUCAGCAGCACAUAUACUAAAAUUGAAAUGAUACAGAGAAGAUCAGCAUGGCCUCUGCAUAAGAUGAUAAGAAAAUUCAUGAAGUGUUCCAUAUUUUU